UUUCCGCCGCCCGAGUGUUUAGUCGAUUGUGUGAUAUCGAACUGCUAGCAUCUUCGCCAAGCACUUUUCACCCGAGUUUUUUCAGUGAGAUUCGCAGGCAGCAAGCCAAGAAAGGAGACUCGCUUUCACUCUCAUCGCGAGAAUUCUGUAAUUUGUGGUCUGCAAAUUCCUGAAAGUUCGCAACUUCGCCAUGGCAAAAGGAAAAGGCGGUGGAAACAAGGAUGAGAAAAAGGGCGGCGCUGCCGCUGCGGCCCCCAAAGCGGCCGAGGCGAAGCCGGCUGAGGCAAAGGGUGGCAAGGGUGGCAAAAAAGGUGGCAAGAAGUGACAGUGAGGAGAAGCCUUCCCCUAAAAGCACCUCUGCAAUACAUUCUACACUCUUGAUGAUUGUGAGGAAAUAAGAAAAUCAAUUUCUCAUUUCUCCUUAUCUGUGAAAAUGCUAAAUGUACACACACCGAUGUCAACCCCGCCCACAACACGCGCCCUUCCAAUCCAAACGGGCGAAUCCAUCGUGACUUAUCCAACUCUCGGAAUCAGUUGCAGUUGAACCAAAAAUAACGCCGACAAAUAAACUCUCUGUCUAACUUGAAUGUGACUCAACUUAUAUUUUUUUCUUCUUUUGGACACGUGUACUUUUGAGAACAAUAUAAUUGUAAUAAUGUAAUAAAUACGAUAAAAGUAGAGAUAAAUCUCUAUGGAUAGAA